rnacentral:rRNA from 1 species
AGUGAACGCUGGCGGUAGGCCUAACACAUGCAAGUCGAACGGCAGCACAGUAAGAGCUUGCUCUUACGGGUGGCGAGUGGCGGACGGGUGAGGAAUACAUCGGAAUCUACUUUUUCGUGGGGGAUAACGUAGGGAAACUUACGCUAAUACCGCAUACGACCUACGGGUGAAAGCAGGGGAUCUUCGGACCUUGCGCGAUUGAAUGAGCCGAUGUCGGAUUAGCUAGUUGGCGGGGUAAAGGCCCACCAAGGCGACGAUCCGUAGCUGGUCUGAGAGGAUGAUCAGCCACACUGGAACUGAGACACGGUCCAGACUCCUACGGGAGGCAGCAGUGGGGAAUAUUGGACAAUAGGCGCAAGCCUGAUCCAGCCAUACCGCGUGGGUGAAGAAGGCCUUCGGGUUGUAAAGCCCUUUUGUUGGGAAAGAAAAGCAGCAGGUUAAUACCCCGCUGUUCUGACGGUACCCAAAGAAGAAGCACCGGCUAACUUCGUG